GUGGUUACUUGCUAUAGCUACAGUGCCAUGGUGAUUGUAGAAAUUGAAUUAACAAAAGUAAUAAUAAAAAAAGUGUUCAUGAAUAUGACUACAAAAAAUGAAUGAUACAAAAAGCAUAAAUUAGAGAACUGAAUAAACCAAAUACAUAAAGUGAAUAAUUUUUAUGGAAAUUUUGUAAUAAAAAGUAACUUACGACAAUAUUGUAGUUGUAGUGAGUCACUAUACUAUCAGUGUUCCUCUUUAUUUACCUUAAUAAUACAUACAUAAAACAUUGAAU
rnacentral:misc_RNA from 1 species